GACGAACGCUGGCGGCGUGCCUAACACAUGCAAGUCGAGCGAGAAAGCCCCUUCGGGGGGUGAGUACAGCGGCGAACGGGUGAGUAACACGUGGGCAACCUGCCCCAAGGAGCGGGACAACCCCGGGAAACCGGAGCUAAUACCGCAUGAUCCGCCACGGCUCAAGCCGUGUCGGCAAAUGGUCGCUUCGGCCUCCGCCUUGGGAUGGGCCCGCGGCGCAUUAGCUUGUUGGUGGGGUAACGGCUCACCAAGGCGACGAUGCGUAGCUGGUCUGAGAGGACGAUCAGCCACACUGGGACUGAGACACGGCCCAGACUCCUACGGGAGGCAGCAGUGGGGAAUCUUGCGCAAUGGGCGAAAGCCUGACGCAGCAACGCCGCGUGAGGGACGACGGCCCUCGGGUUGU
rnacentral:rRNA from 1 species